rnacentral:ribozyme from 1 species
UUUUUUUUUUUUUUUUUUUUUUUUUUUUUUUUUUUUUUUUUUUUGAACUCAAGAAUUUUAUGGA